GUCUCCCCUUUGAUAAACGCUGUUCUCUGAGAAGCCCAGCUUGACAGGGAGCUGGAAAUAAUCAGCCAGUGUUUUGGAAAGGGCUCUCCUAGAUCCUCUUGGGUCCUCAGCAGCCCAUUCUACCUGCCUCCCAUCUUCCCUCCUGGUUGUCAAAAUAAGUCAGUGGGAGAGGCGUUCUCAGGAAUGCCUGAUGCUUUGUUUAAUAUGGAAGAUGAGCCUCCCCAUGGCCUGGGAAGAAAUGAAGACACAGAUUUACUCCGCAACCCUUACAACACAAACUCCAAGGGAAGGGACCGUUUAACAGGGCGCAUCAGAGUUGUGGCUCCUUCAGCAACUAUGUCUAUUUUAUCAGCGAUUUACCCCUGAGAUUCUGAACAGACAUUCUCCUGCAAGGUCCAGCUAGUACGUCUCUACUACAAAACAACAGAAAGGCCUCGGUUUUCAGCCAGGCAGACCCAAGUCUGCAGUUAUAGCAGCACUGCUCUGUCAUCAUGGGAUCAUGCAAAAGUUACUCAGAAAAUGAUAUGUAAAGUUGAUAAAGCAUUUACAUGUUUUGACAGUU